CAGAACGGCGCCACCAGUAAGUGGGCUGGGGCUCGGCAGUGGGAGGUCAGUGGGAGGUCGGGCCUCCGGGCAGGGCCGGGGUGGCCCACAGCCUGCCACUCGCCCUGCCCUCCCUAGGUUACAGCUCCGUCGUGGCAGACAGCCCCGCAGAGGUGGCCCUCAGCAGCAGCGGGGCAGCAGCGCCAGCAGCCAGGCCCUGGGCCCCCCUUCAGGCCCGCACAACCCCGCCUCCCAGCACUGCGUGAGUGUCUGGCAGCAGGUGCAGGCCCAUCCUGCUGGGUGGGCUUCCACCUGGACUGAUGUCCUGUCCCCAUUUCCUUCCACCUGGGGCAGGUGCACAUCUGCCUCCAGCCUUGCCUUUGGGUCAGGGUUUCACUAUGUAGCUCAGGCUGGCCUCGAACUUAGGAUCCUCCUGCCUCAGCCUAUUGAGUGAGUGCUGGGAUCACAGGCCUGUAGCACCGUGCCUGGCUUGCCUUGUCCUUGAGAGCACCCUAAACAGCAGAGGGAUCCUCUUAGGGUGUCAGUGAUGACAAGCUCGCUGCAGCAUGCGUGCCGUAGGUCCGCCACCACUGUCCUGAAUCAUGUCCUCCAGUCGGGACUUCUUAGCACCCCUGGAGGGGCCCUUGCUCUGCUUCCCAAAGGAGCUGUCUGCAGCCGCCCCAGACCUUGGGCCAGAAACCCCACUGGCCCACUGUCUGUGCUGGAGGAAAGACCCCUCGGCCCAUUGUCCCCGCCCCAGCCCUCCCUGCCCAAGGCUGCUUGUUUUGUGAUUGGAACAUUUGCUCCAUACCUCUGUAACCAUGCUGUGUCCUUUUGUUUUGUUUUGUUUUAUUUGUUGUUUGAGACUGGGUCUCGCUAUGUAGUUCAGGCUGAUUUUAAACUCACUGCAGCCCAGGCUGGCCUCAAACUCACAGGGAUCCUCCUGCCGCGGCCUCCUGAGUGCUGGGAUCACCGGCGUGCCCGCCGUGCGCAGCUGGCCUCCAUUCGUCGGUCUGCGGCUGUUGGAGCACCUGAGGCUCUGUGUCCCCGGUCCCCACCUCCACGCCCCUCAGAGCCGCUCUGCAGCCCCCAUGCUGCCUCCCUCGUUGCCUUCCUCUGAGCCUCCCCCUCCCCUCUCUUCCCCAGGAAGGAGCCUAGUGCAGCCGCCCCAACGGGGGGCUGGGGGUGUGGCCCCCCGGCUCAGGGAACAACUCUGGGGGCCCCAGCCUCCUGGUGCCGCUGCCCGUGAACCCCCCAGCUCUCCCACGCCCAGCUUCAGUGAGGCCAAGGCGGCCGGUGCCCUGCUCAACGGGCCCCCCGCAGUUCAGCAGCGCCCCCGAGAUCAAGGCCCCCGAGCCCCUGAGCUCCCUGAAGUCCAUGGCGGAGCGGGCAGCCAUCAGCUCGGGCAUCGAGGACCCUGUGCCCGCGUUACACCUGACCGAGCGAGCCCAGCCAGCCCUGCAGCUGUCGGAGGUGAACAUCCCGCUGUCGCUGGGUGUGUGCCCACUGGGGCCGGUGCCCCUCACCAAGGAGCAACUGUACCAGCAGGUCAUGGAGGAGGCCGCCUGGCACCACAUGCCCCACCCCUCCGACUCUGAGCGCAUCCGUACCUCCCCCGGAACCCCUGCCCGACGCCCCCCUACCACCACCAGAUGCCGCCCCCACACUCGGACACCGUGGAGUUCUACCAGCGCCUGUCCACCGAGACGCUCUUCUUCAUCUUCUACUAUCUGGAGGGCACCAAGGCGCAGUACUUGGCGGCCAAGGCCCUGAAGAAGCAGUCGUGGCGGUUCCACACCAAGUACAUGAUGUGGUUCCAGAGGCACGAGGAGCCCAAGACCAUCACCGACGAGUUCGAGCAGGGCACCUACAUCUACUUUGACUACGAGAAGUGGGGCCAGGCGGAAGAAGGAGGGCUUCACCUUCGAGUACCGCUACCUGGAGGACCGGGACCUCCAGUGACACCGGCCCUCCACCCACCUCCCCGCAUGCUGACGCCCCUGCCCAGGUGAGGGCCUCGCCCAGAAGCCGGGGCCCUGGCCAGGCACCCCUCCCCAGGAAGCCGGGAGGGCCCAGAAGGUCCUCUUCCUCAGCCCCACCCUGGGGCCCGGGGGUGAGGGCUGCCCCUCCUCCCCUCCCCAGCGAGGGACAUUUUUUGGUAAACCUAUUUUCAUUUUGGAAAAUAUUUAUGAAUAAAUAGUUUUAUAUGACGGCUGGCAGCAG
ensembl:lncRNA